AUUGAACGCUGGCGGCAGGCCUAACACAUGCAAGUCGAAUGGUAACAGGAAACAGCUUGCUGUUUUGCUGACGAGUGGCGGACGGGUGAGUAAUGUCUGGGAAACUGCCUGAUGGAGGGGGAUAACUACUGGAAACGGUAGCUAAUACCGCAUAACGUCGCAAGCCCAAAGAGGGGGACCUUCGGGCCGCUUGCCAUCAGAUGUGCCCAGAUGGGAAUAGCUAGUAGGUGGGGUAACGGCUCACCUAGGCGACGAUCCCUAGCUGGUCUGAGAGGAUGACCAGCCACACUGGAACUGAGACACGGUCCAGACUCCUACGGGAGGCAGCAGUGGGGAAUAUUGCACAAUGGGCGCAAGCCUGAUGCAGCCAUGCCGCGUGUAUGAAGAAGGCCUUCGAGUUGUAAAGUACUUUCAGCGGGGAGGAAGGGAGUAAAGUUAAUACCUUUGCUCAUUGACGUUACCCGCAGAAGAAGCACCGGCUAACUCCGUG
rnacentral:rRNA from 1 species